GUAAUUUGGAUAUGUGGGUUGUGUCAUACUCUAGAAAAAUUGGCCUCUUUGAGGCUUUGAGCUCUAUGUGGAGGCAAUCUCUAACGAAUACACGCUUCAAGGCAAUCAAAGCCCACCACAAAGUCAUCUCUCCACCGUCAAAGCCAGGGUACAAUGUCAUCCAAAGGAUUUGUUUGUGGCAAACUUGAAAGUCUUGGCUAAUGCAGUCAUUAAAUGUCGGCCUCAGUUCCACCGUAAGCUUGUUAAGAACCACAUUUGAAGGAACGGGAGUGUGGUGUAUCUAACAGGUACCCCCAACACCCCAGACCAUUUGGUAAGGCCAAGGCAUCACUUCGAAGUUGGAAAAAUGAUCCUGGUCUUUGAAAUACUUUCCCCAAAAGGCUCUAAACAAGACGACGAUCGUGAUGAUGGCCAUUCCACCUUUUGGAGCUUGGAUUUAACGCACUUUCAAGGUCAUGUUUAACACCUGCAAAUGGCCUUCCAACGAUGGGAAGAACUAAAGUGAACUGAACACAAGGAGUCGGUAGUGAGCAACGAGAAUCCCCGAGAGUGGAGGUUGGAAAUUGGAAUUCCAGCAAGCAGAGAGACAGACCCUGCCUUCCCUAGCCGAAGCUAACGAUUAUGACUACGGGUCUAUUAAGGAAAUUAAUUUGGCAAACCAGACUAGAAAAAACGUGAGCGGUCGAGACAACAAAAACCAGGGCGACAAGUGAGUUCUUCUUGUGGAUUCAUGGUCUCUCUCCUGCAUGGUCAUCUUGAUAGCAGUCCGAUAAGCAAGCAAACCGAGAGCACUGGGAUUCAAAUUGAUACAAUCAAGACGAACGAAGGGAGCUUUCAUCAUGACAUGAAAAGGAUCGCUUUGGUUGAAACGAAGAGAAGAGGGAGUCUCUCAUUUGCAUUUUAACAGACCUCCUCCUUUUCUUUGGCAUGAGAUUGAUCUGAGGGUGGAUGGAAAACGUCCGAGAAGUCGAGAAUAUGAGGACCAAUUUGUCAACAGUCAACCCUCGAAACCACAGAGAGUCGGAAUAACUAAACACAGAACAACCAUGUGGGACGAACAAAAAUGUGUCUUCUUGACCUCUUACCAGACUCCUUGGGCAUAGUUUCGACUCUGAGUCAACGCUCCUCCUUGGUUUACAAUGUUCAACAAUCUUCGAGGCAGAAUUUUGAUUAUGGACUCAGACAUAAGCUAUUCUUUUGUUGGGAACAACCUCGCUCAUGGAUAUGAUUUUCAAUUCGAUCGACUUUCUUCAUAAUCUUGAGCGGUUUCAGCCACAAGCUGAUGAUUUGAAGGUGUUGAUGAAUUGACUGACAAUGAAACACGUGGUGGGAAUAUUAACAUUUGAGUGUACAAUAAUUCUACUUUGAAUUUAUGGACCAAAGGCUUUAAAUUGCAGUUUAAUUGUCCUUCAGUCGAAACAUUCACUUUCGGUUUAAAGUUUGUUCGGUGCUUCAGUUCAUAAUUUCCUAUGACUUUAAUUUCAACCAACAAUAUAUAUAUUUAAUUGCCGCGCUAUAGCAUCAAACGGAAAUAUUAGAAGUAGUCAUGUUUAAUCCUUACCUCUCACAAUGGUGAACAUACCCUUUAUAUUUUGACGUCUUGGCAUUUUUCUACCCCAAAAAGCCAUAAAGAACAACUUUGAUUUUACAGUAUAUUUAUAGUGUUCUAGCCCACAUUAAAAAUCAUAUGUCUAAAAACAUUAUAAAAACUAUCUUUUUCAAAAACCUAUUCCACGAAAAUCGGUUGCACACUUAGUAAGCACUUGAUGAUAAAUUAUGGUAUCAACUAUUACACCACCACCUAGUUAUGUGCAUGGGAUGUGCACCCAAUGGGAUGUGGGCCCAAAUUUCUUCUUUUUUAGUCCCAAAACGACCCGGUUAUAUCUUUAUGCAAUUUCCCAAAUAAUUACUAUCAGUUUUCGAUGUCACAACAAUAAAAUGCUAUUUUUCUUCCUUUUAG